AUGACCAGCCACACUGGAACUGAGACACGGUCCAGACUCCUACGGGAGGCAGCAGUGGGGAAUAUUGCACAAUGGGCGCAAGCCUGAUGCAGCCAUGCCGCGUGUGUGAAGAAGGCCUUCGGGUUGUAAAGCACUUUCAGCGGGGAGGAAGGCGUUAAGGUUAAUAACCUUGGCGAUUGACGUUACCCGCAGAAGAAGCACCGGCUAACUCCGUGCCAGCAGCCGCGGUAAUACGGAGGGUGCAAGCGUUAAUCGGAAUUACUGGGCGUAAAGCGCACGCAGGCGGUCUGUCAAGUCGGAUGUGAAAUCCCCGGGCUCAACCUGGGA
rnacentral:rRNA from 1 species